GUGAGAGUAAGUUUAGGGACCCUUCCCAACAAAAUCUCAAAUAGUGGCAUUUACACAAGCAAUGGUAUGUAAUGCCCUGUACGAGAUUUGGUUGGUGAGAAGUCUCUACAAUAGGUAUCAUU
rnacentral:pre_miRNA from 14 species